GCCGGGUGCGGUUGGCAUGUGCCUGUAAGUCCAAGUCACUGGGAGGCUGAGGUUGGUGGAUCAAGUGAGCUGAGGAGCUCUGGGCUGCAGCACGCUAUGUCGAACGGGUGUCCACGCCUAAGUUCGGUAUCGAUAUGGUGUUCCUGGGGGAGCCCGGGACCACCAGGUCGUCUAAGGAGGGGUGAACCGGCCCAGGUCGGAAACGAAGCAGGUCAAAUCCCCCGUGCUGUCCAGUAGUGGGAUAAUACCUGUGAGUAGAUGCUGCAGUGCAGCCUUGGCAAAACAUCGAGACCUAAUCUUUU
rnacentral:SRP_RNA from 1 species